UAGCUUCCUGUUAAGGGUUGAGGUAAUGUAAGUCUUUGCUCGGUUUGGUUUAACGAUGUGGGGGUGAGGUUCCUAUUUUUGCUGCAUAUCUAUUCUCCUCUUAGACCUUGUGAGGAAUAGUAAAUUUUUUUUUUGUCAGAUUAAUUGAGCUUAGAAUAAUAAUUCUAUUUUCUCUGGCUGUAAUGUUCAUUACUUAGUGAAACAGGAUCAGAAUAGGUACAGUGCAAGUAGAGGAGCUCAUUUGAAUCUCAAGAGAGCUGAGAAAGCACGUGUUCUGGUUAGCAAGAUUCCUGCCAUGGUUGACACAUUGGUUGCUAAGACCAGAGCUUGGGAAGAGGAACACAACAUGUCUUUUGCAUACGAUGGUGUUCCUCUGCUAGCUAUGUUAGAUGAGUACGGUAUGCUUACUGCUUAUGCAAGAACGAGAAGAUGAGAAACGGAGGCUGAGGGAACAAAAGAAGGUUCAAGAACAGCCACACGUGGAGCAAGACACUGCCUUCAGCACCAGGCCAAGCCCUGCGAGACCGGUGAGUGCAAAGAAACUGGUGGGGGCACGAGCUAGCAACGGAGCAGCCAAUGGAACACCAAACCGGCAUCUGUCUUUGAAUGCAAACCAGAACGGAAGCAGGUCUGUUGCAAAGGAAGAAGGGAAAAGUGUGUGUAAUUUUGCUAUUGUAAACUUGAAAAUUUCAUGAAGGAAAUAGUUCAUUUGAGGUUUCAGCUACUAGAAACGAUAUAAAGGCACUUCAAAUUCAAUUCAUGCUGAUGAGAAAAAACUAAUCCAUUUCGAAUUGGACAGGCAAAUGGAGAAAAAUGUGGCCUCCAGUAUGCAUACUUAAUGCAUAGAAUAUUGUGCUUGAUCUUUUAUUGUAGCCUAAGGUUGGUUACAAACACCUACGUAAUGGGUCUUCUACAUAAAUCAAGUAUAUAUAUAUAUGUGUGUGUAUAAGUGUGUGUAGCAUGUUCAUAUUUCAUUUGUAGAGUUGGUGGCCGAUUCUAAACCGAAUGAUAAUCAUUGUUCCUCACAAUUG